UAGGGCGUAAGCGCGCGCAGGUGGUUUCUUAAGUCUGAUGUGAAAGCCCACGGCUCAACCGGGGAGGGGCAUUGGAAACUGGGAAACUUGAGUGCGGAAGAGGAAGGUGGAAUUCCAUGUGUAGCGGUGAAAUGCGUAGAGAUAUGGAGGAACACCAGUGGCGAAGGCGACUUUCUGGUCUGCUACUGACACUGAGGCGCGAAAGCGUGGGGAGCAAACAGGAUUAGAUACCCUGGUAGUCCACGCCGUAAACGAUGACUGCUAACUGUUAGAAGGUUUCCGCCCUUUAUGGCUGAACUUAACGCAUUAAUCACUCCGCCGGGGGAGUACGGCCGCAAGGCUGAAACUCAAUGGAAUUGACGGGGGCCCGCACAAGCGGGGAACCAGGUGGUUUAAUUCAAACCACCGCGAAAAACCUUACCAGGUCUUGACUUCCUCUGA
rnacentral:rRNA from 1 species